rnacentral:rRNA from 1 species
UUGGAGGGCAAGUCUGGUGCCAGCAGCCGCGGUAAUUCCAGCUCCAAUAGCGUAUAUUAAAGUUGUUGCAGUUAAAAAGCUCGUAGUUGAAUUUCGGGAUUGGCGCAUCGGUCGUGCCUCACGGGGUAUGAACUGGUGCAGUCAAUUUCUCACCUUCUGGAGAACCGCGAUGUCCUUAAUUGGAUGCCGCGGGGAACCAGGACCUUUACUUUGAAAAAAUUAGAGUGCUUAAAGCAGGCAUUUUUGCUUGAAUACAUUAGCAUGGAAUAAUAAAAUAGGACGGCAUGGUUCUAUUUUGUUGGUUUCUAGGACCACCAUAAUGAUUAAUGGGGAUAGUUGGGGGCAUAGUAUUCAAUUGUCAGAGGUGAAAUUCUUGGAUUUAUUGAAGACUAACUACUGCGAAAGCAUUUGCCAAGGAUGUUUUCAUUAAUCAAGGACGAAAGUUAGGGGAUCGAAGACGAUCAGAUACCGUCGUAGUCUUAACCAUAAACUAUGCCGACUAGGAAUCAGACGAUGUUAAUUUUUUAAUGACUCGUUUGCACCUUACGGGAAACCAAAGUGUUUGGGUUC